GGUGGCUUAGUGGUAGAGCUCUUGCCUUGCAUGCAUGAGGCCCUGGGUUCGAUUCCUCAGCACCA
rfam:Dipodomys ordii contig_67195, whole genome shotgun sequence.